rnacentral:rRNA from 1 species
UGGGGAAUAUUGGACAAUGGGCGAAAGCCUGAUCCAGCCAUGCCGCGUGGAUGAUGAAGGCCUUAGGGUUGUAAAGUCCUUUCGGCGGGGAAGAUAAUGACGGUACCCGCAGAAGAAGCCCCGGCUAACUUCGUGCCAGCAGCCGCGGUAGUACGAAGGGGGCUAGCGUUGCUCGGAAUCACUGGGCGUAAAGCGCACGUAGGCGGCUUCUUAAGUCAGGGGUGAAAUCCUGGAGCUCAACUCCAGAACUGCCUCUGAUACUGAGGAGCUUGAGUCCGGGAGAGGUGAGUGGAACUCCGAGUGUAGAGGUGAAAUUCGUAGAUAUUCGGAAGAACACCAGUGGCGAAGGCGGCUCACUGGCCCGGUACUGACGCUGAGGUGCGAAAGCGUGGGGAGCAAACAGGAUUAGAUACCCAAGUAGUCCCUGAGCGGGCUGGCAAGGCGCAU